rnacentral:rRNA from 1 species
UACGAAGGGGGCUAGCGUUGUUCGGAAUUACUGGGCGUAAAGCGCGCGCAGGCGGCUAUCCAAGUCAGUGGUGAAAGCCCGGAGCUCAACUCCGGAACUGCCAUUGAAACUGUUUAGCUUGAGUAUGAGAGAGGUGAGUGGAAUUCCCAGUGUAGAGGUGAAAUUCGUAGAUAUUGGGAAGAACACCGGUGGCGAAGGCGGCUCACUGGCUCAUUACUGACGCUCAGGCGCGACAGCGUGGGGAUCAAAC